rnacentral:pre_miRNA from 1 species
UGUCGAAGUUUUCCUCGGUAGUUAACUGCAGCCGGUUCCAUAAUUCGGUUAACUGUCGAGGGGCAU